CAGCUGAAGUGCACACCGCUCUGUUCUGUUUUCCUCUUCUUCAAUACGAAAUUUUCCCCACCGCCGCCGCCUAGGUCAUAUCCUACCGCCGCCGGCCACCACGGAGCAUGCCCCAUCCGCUGCUGGACGCCCCAAUCAAGAGCAACCUAGAGGGCUAUUGCGCGUGCGCCGAAUAGUUUGCUCAGAGCCGGCAGAAGCUGUUGGCAUCCCCAUGGGAGCGGAGACGAACCUCUCGUCGCCGCAGCUAGAUCCGACCAAGUCGCGGGAGUCGGUGACCCUACUCAACGACGAUCAGGCCACUGGUUCAUGUGCCUGAGAUGGGAUCUGGAGAACGAAAGCUUUGGAGCGUCGGGGCACGACUGGGGCCGAAGCCUUUUGGAGCUUCCAUGGCUAGGGAGUAGGGACAACGUCCAAAUGUCCCAUGCGCCGUGCCUGUGGCUGUGGUUGGAAGCAUACACACACAGAUGUACGGCAAUCAGGUCUCCAUCAGGAUGUCGCCAGAUAAUGUUCCCUUCCAGUUCACCUGCUGUUCCUCGGCACUUCAGAUGUCAGCGGUGUUCGUCGGCACUCCGGAUUCUCUCUCUGGAUGAUUUGUUUGGUAUUUCAUGGGAUUUGGUGAAUCCCUUCUUUUCACCAACCCCUUCAAUUCCCGUCACAUCUUAAGUCUCCAAUCCCUUUUCAUAAAAACUUGUUUUGUGUCCCCUAAAAAAAACUUGUUUGGUG
rnacentral:rRNA from 1 species